GCCCGCGUAGCUCAACGGAUCAGAGUCCCGGUUUCCUAAACCGGAUCGUGCGGGUUCGAAUCCCGCCGCGGGCU
rnacentral:tRNA from 1 species